GCCGGGGUAGCCUAGCUCGGCAGGGCGGGGGACUCGUAAUCCCCAGGUCCCGGGUUCAAAUCCCGGUCCCGGCU
rnacentral:tRNA from 2 species